AGAGCUCAGUGGUAGAGCACAUGCUUAGCAUGCAUGAGGUCCUGGGUUUAAUCCCCAUU
rnacentral:tRNA from 1 species